GGAUUUAGGAGUAGUGGUGAUGUGGCAUCAGAAAUUGGGAUUUAGGGAUAAAUGAGAUCAGACAUCUGAAAUUGGGAGUUAGUGAUUUCAAAUUGAAAUUGGGGAUUUCUUAUACUCGUUGCGAAAGGAAGCAAAAGACGAUUACCCAUUUCAUUGUUGGAGAACACGAAGACAGUCCAGGCUAUUGUUGACGCGAACAGAGGUAAGGUAUGUCGUUUUCAUUGUUGUAAUGUAUAAAUGUGUUUUUCCUUUUACGAGCAUGUGCGAUAUUUGGGGUUUUCUAUGUCUAUAUGUAUUGAUAAUGAUUUGUGGUCCCAUUUUGCAUGUUGAGUGGUUAGAUUGUACUUUAGAGUUUGUGGUCCCAUUUUGCAUGAUGAGCUGUAGUGGUCCCCUGUCUCUUAGUGUUGGGUUAGUGAGGUUGUAAGUUUGUUCCCUGUCCCCCUGUGUCGGUCUGAGUGUUUAUUUAGAGAGUGAGUGCCCCAUUUAGUGGUAUCAUUGAAAUAGAAAUAAUAGUUGUCUCCCCCCAUAAUGUACAAGUUUAAAAGAAUGUUUUUGAUAUG
rnacentral:lncRNA from 1 species